UACGGAGGGUGCAAGCGUUAAUCGGAAUUACUGGGCGUAAAGCGCACGCAGGUGGCUGAGUCAGUCGAUUGUGAAAGCCCUGGGCUUAACCUGGGAAUUGCAGUCGAUACUACUCAGCUAGAGUAUGGGAGAGGGCAGUGGAAUUCCCGGUGUAGCGGUGAAAUGCGUAGAUAUCUGGAGGAACACCGGUGGCGAAGGCGGCAUCCUGGACCGAUACUGACGCUGAGGAGCGAAAGCCAGGGGAGCAAACGGG
rnacentral:rRNA from 1 species